rnacentral:rRNA from 1 species
AUUGAACGCUGGCGGCAUGCCUUACACAUGCAAGUCGAACGGUAACAGGUCUUCGGAUGCUGACGAGUGGCGAACGGGUGAGUAAUACAUCGGAGCGUGCCUAGUAGUGGGGGGUAACUACUCGAAAGAGUGGCUAAUACCGCAUGAGAUCUACGGAUGAAAGCAGGGGAUCGCAAGACCUUGUGCUACUAGAGCGGCCGAUGGCAGAUUAGGUAGUUGGUGGGAUAAAAGCUUACCAAGCCGACGAUCUGUAGCUGGUCUGAGAGGACGAUCAGCCACACUGGGACUGAGACACGGCCCAGACUCCUACGGGAGGCAGCAGUGGGGAAUUUUGGACAAUGGGCGCAAGCCUGAUCCAGCAAUGCCGCGUGCAGGAUGAAGGCCUUCGGGUUGUAAACUGCUUUUGUACGGAACGAAAAGCCCUGGGUUAAUACCCUGGGGUCAUGACGGUACCGUAAGAAUAAGCACCGGCUAACUACGUGCCAGCCGCCGCCGUAA